GGUGAACGCUGGCGGUAGGCCUAACACAUGCCAGUCGAACGGCAGCACAGUAAGAGCUUGCUCUUACGGGUGGCGAGUGGCGGACGGGUGAGGAAUACAUCGGAAUCUACUUUUUCGUGGGGGAUAACGUAGGGAAACUUACGCUAAUACCGCAUACGACCUACGGGUGAAAGCAGGGGAUCUUCGGACCUUGCGCGAUUGAAUGAGCCGAUGUCGGAUUAGCUAGUUGGCGGGGUAAAGGCCCACCAAGGCGACGAUCCGUAGCUGGUCUGAGAGGAUGAUCAGCCACACUGGAACUGAGACACGGUCCAGACUCCUACGGGAGGCAGCAGUGGGGAAUAUUGGACAAUGGGCGCAAGCCUGAUCCAGCCAUACCGCGUGGGUGAAGAAGGCCUUCGGGUUGUAAAGCCCUUUUGUUGGGAAAGAAAAGCAGCAGGUUAAUACCCCGCCGUUCUGACGGUACCCAAAGAAUAAGCACCGGCUAACUUCGUG
rnacentral:rRNA from 1 species